rnacentral:rRNA from 1 species
UACGAAGGGGGCUAGCGUUGCUCGGAAUCACUGGGCGUAAAGCGCACGUAGGCGGCUUGUUAAGUCAGGGGUGAAAUCCUGGAGCUCAACUCCAGAACUGCCUUUGAUACUGAUGAGCUUGAGUUCGGGAGAGGUGAGUGGAACUGCGAGUGUAGAGGUGAAAUUCGUAGAUAUUCGGAAGAACACCAGUGGCGAAGGCGACUCACUGGACACGUAUUGACGCUGAGGUGCGAAAGCGUGGGGAGCAAACAGG